AACGAACGCUGGCGGCAUGCCUAACACAUGCAAGUCGAACGAGACCUUCGGGUCUAGUGGCGCACGGGUGCGUAACGCGUGGGAAUCUGCCCUUGGGUUCGGAAUAACAGUUGGAAACGACUGCUAAUACCGGAUGAUGACGUAAGUCCAAAGAUUUAUCGCCCAGGGAUGAGCCCGCGUAGGAUUAGCUAGUUGGUGGGGUAAAGGCCUACCAAGGCGACGAUCCUUAGCUGGUCUGAGAGGAUGAUCAGCCACACUGGGACUGAGACACGGCCCAGACUCCUACGGGAGGCAGCAGUGGGGAAUAUUGGACAAUGGGCGAAAGCCUGAUCCAGCAAUGCCGCGUGAGUGAUGAAGGCCUUAGGGUUGUAAAGCUCUUUUAACCGGGAUGAUAAUGACAGUACCGGGAGAAUAAGCCCCGGCUAACUCCGUG
rnacentral:rRNA from 1 species